GGGCGAAUAGUUCAGUUGGUUGGAACGUCCCGUUUACAUCGGGAAGGUCGGGGGUUCGAGUCCCUCUUCGCCCACCA
rnacentral:tRNA from 1 species